AUCGCAAAACCUGAGCAGCCUCAGGGAUAACGAGACCUUGAACGGAAGAUUUCAAAGGGAAGAAAUUGGCUGCUGCAAUAUUUCUUCUCCGAGUGCCUGGCUAGAUAUCAUUCCUCCAGGAACCAUGAAAAUGCGGCCUGACCAGGCACCUCUUGUCCUAUGGGGAAUAUCUUCUGCUCCAUUUGGGCCCCGAGGAGAAACAUCUCAGUUCAGCAACAUCUGCAGAUGAUAUUGUAGCUCAUUCCAGUUUAGCAAAAAAAUAGGUAGAUCUAAUGAGAUGCUUCCUCGAGCACUUCGCUGUUCAACAUCAACGAAGAUAUUAGGCUGUGACCCACUAUGCUAGCUGGACCAGAAUAAGGAAUCGAAUCCAUUCCUGCUCCCAUCUAGUUUCCUCCUGUUUUGGUCACCGCAGGAAUCACAGAUAAAUUGGAACUGUAAAACAGAACAUAUAUUUUGUCUCAUUUGCAUGUACUUUAAAUGAAUUUGUAUGUUUUAAAACUGGAUGCCUAGUGCCAAAUGCAGAAACAGUCAUAAUAUAGUCUUUGUAUGCAUGGGAAAAAUCCACAGAGAAACAUUCAGAUUUUUGUGGAGCUUUAACAUUUUUCAUAAACUCUGAGUUUUAGACAUUUUGUGAGUGCUGCAAUUCUGCAGUAGCUGUACUAGAUGCUUUCCAUUUGCAGUGCAGAAUGUCAUACACAUUUAUGACUCUUUCAGUACCCUUAAUCUUUUCUUCCGCAUGACUAGAUGAGACCAUUGGGCCAAGUCGGCUAUCCAGAUUCAAAGACAGGUCUUCAACGCCUUACAGAGAAGCUUCAUUUAUGAAGUGUUCAGGUAUUCACCAUAUGUGCCUGUUACACAUCCUCAUUUGUAAGUGCUUACCCAAAGCUUUUCAUGCCUUACUCUAAUGAAAAUGGGAAUUUCUGAAUACACUAUAACUUAUUCAGAUUUAAUGAGGGCAUGAUUUUAGAAGCUGAAGGCUUUGGUCGUCGUAUGUUCCUCAUCAUGAGACUAAUUUCAGAAGUGCAGGCCUCUAUCUUAUAACUGACUACUUAUUGAUUGGGUAUUUUAUUUACUAUUUCUAGUUGCAACUGUUCUUUAUGAAGCAUGUUAUUUAAGAAGGCACUAUAAUAAUGGUUUUUCUUCUAAAGGAACUUCAGGGAGAGAAAGAAAUAGAUUAUUCCAGCUUUUUCAUUUUUCUCUUUGUUAGGAAACUACACUGCGUACUUUGACAUACUAGUCACUUUUUUAUAUUCUGAAAACACUAAGGUACAAACGGGAAUAAAAGAAAUAAAACCCCCCAGUUUUAAUAACAAUUAUUUAUAUUUACUUUGAAAUUAAACUUGUAUAAUUUGAGAAUUGAAAACGACACAAAUUAACAUUCGAUCAAGUUGAACAUGAGCACCUCUUUCUGUAGUUUCUAUGUUUCCUCAGCACUAGUGAGGAUGCUAUACUAAAUGGAUAUUUUAUUCCCCAAAACACCUGUGUUUUCAUCAGUCAGUAUCAAGUCAAUCCUGAUGAGUAAGCUGGGUUUUAUUGGCUAUCAUAAUUAGUCAUUGUAGGCUUUGGAUAUUGUUAGUAUUGAAUAUUCAGAACCUCUGUUGUUAUUCCAUUGUAUGCAGUAACACCAUUCAUCUUUUAGUCAAAGCUGAACAAAUAAUAGCACUAUUAACAGUUGCUAGGCAUAUGUUUUAUUAAUAUAAUUUGCAAGUAAUCUAAAACCAAAUCAUCAUGAUGUUCCAUUAAAAAUAACAAAAAUAGGUAAACUGUAUCCUGUUACCACUCAUCCUCAAAACGUCAGCAUCAGGUAUGUCACAGUUAUUUGUGUCUAUCUGUCUGUGCUGGUGUAUUUGAAAACUUUCCUGUAUUAAAUAAAUGAAAUUAGCAAAAUUUU